rnacentral:rRNA from 1 species
GACGAACGCUGGCGGCGUGCCUAAUACAUGCAAGUAGAACGCACAGUUUAUACCGUAGCUUGCUACACCAUAGACUGUGAGUUGCGAACGGGUGAGUAACGCGUAGGUAACCUGCCUGGUAGCGGGGGAUAACUAUUGGAAACGAUAGCUAAUACCGCAUAAUAUUGAUUAUUGCAUGAUAAUUGAUUGAAAGAUGCUAUUGCAUCACUACCAGAUGGACCUGCGUUGUAUUAGCUAGUAGGUGAGGUAACGGCUCACCUAGGCGACGAUACAUAGCCGCCCUGAGGGGGUGAUCGGCCACACUGGGACUGGGACACGGCCCAGACUCCUACGGGAGGCAGCAGUAGGGAAUCUUCGGCAAUGGACGAAAGUCUGACCGAGCAACGCCGCGUGAGUGAAGAAGGUUUUCGGGUCGUAAAGCUCUGUUGUAAGAGAAGAACGGGUGUGAGAGUGGAAAGUUCACACUGUGACGGUAUCUUACCAGAAAGGGACGGCUAACUACGUG